GACGAACGCUGGCGGCGUGCUUAACACAUGCAAGUCGAACGGAAAGGCCCUUCUUUUGUGGGGUGCUCGAGUGGCGAACGGGUGAUUAACACGUGAGUAACCUGCCCUUGACUUUGGGAUAACUUCAGGAAACUUGGGCUAAUACCGGAUAGGAGCUCCUGCUGCAUGGUGGGGGUUGGAAAGUUUCGGCGGUUGGGGAUGGACUCGCGGCUUAUCAGCUUGUUGGUGGGGUAGUGGCUUACCAAGGCUUUGACGGGUAGCCGGCCUGAGAGGGUGACCGGCCACAUUGGGACUGAGAUACGGCCCAGACUCCUACGGGAGGCAGCAGUGGGGAAUAUUGCACAAUGGGCGGAAGCCUGAUGCAGCAACGCCGCGUGCGGGAUGACGGCCUUCGGGUUGUAAACCGCUUUCGCCUGUGACGAAGCGUGAGUGACGGUAAUGGGUAAAGAAGCACCGGCUAACUACGUG
rnacentral:rRNA from 1 species